CCAGUUGCGAACGGCUCUCUGGACUGUAACUGACGCUGAGGCACGAAAGCGUGGGGAGCAAACAGGAUUAGAUACCCUGGUAGUCCACGCUGUAAACGAUGAGUACUAGGUGUCGGGGGUUACACCCUUCGGUGCCGCAGCUAACGCAUUAAGUACUCCGCCUGGGAAGUACGCUCGCAAGAGUGAAACUCAAAGGAAUUGACGGG
rnacentral:rRNA from 1 species